rnacentral:lncRNA from 1 species
AGAAAAAUUAAAAUCACCCAAAAUAACAUUGACUUUGCAAAGCUCUUAAAAAAUUAUUAUAAACUUAAAUUUUUCAAAAAUAAAGCUUAAAGAAGCCUAACUUGUUUUGCUCUCAAAUCUAGCUUGCCAAUUUGUAAAAAAACCUUGUAGUUAUUGUAAGUACCCAAUUUUGUGCUUCAAAGUCUAAUUUGGAUCUAUAUUCAUAACUAGUCUUCUUUAGAUAUCAAUUUUUAGAAAUUUAAGAUAAUUUUUUCUUAAAUAUAUUAUUAGAUUUUUUCUA